rnacentral:misc_RNA from 1 species
CUCAUUCGAAAGUUACACACACGUGCGGUUUUGUCAGCAGAUACGUAUGGAAUAAGUGUAUUUUGCCCUGUUACUUUGUGCUGUGGAGUUGUCCGUGUUCAGCUGUUAAAAAGCAACCAACAAUAAAAAAUACAGAGGGUGUAGCAGGUCCAUUCCCCAUUACAGCAUGUGCCCUACAGCACAGCCCGACGAAUCGCUCAACUCCCAUGAUUCAGCCAAUAGCAAAACAGGCUGAGGUGGUAUCUAGUCCGUCUCUCGCUACAUCGUAUGUGCUGAAACACAGCCCGAGGAAUAGCUCAACUUCCACAAUUCAACCAAUACCAAAACAGGCUGUGGUGGUACCACAUCCAUCCAUCGGUACAGUGCGUGUGUUGCUACACAGCUCAACAAAUGGUGCUGUUCUCCCACAUUUAAACCAGUGACAGGGCAGGAUAAGAUGGUAUCAGUGCCUUCCCUUACUACAGCGCAUGUUCUGCAACACGGCUAUGGAAUGCAACCUGUGAUGCCAGGAAACUCACAGAUAAACUAAAUCAUGUGCCAGAUGUCGAGCACCAUUUUGUUUGGAAGUUCCAUUGUUCUGUGUGCGAACAGUUUUGGAAGUUUGGAUGAAUCAAGUUUCUGAAACUGACUGGAAAGAAACUUAAUUUUCAAAAACUAAGAUUUUAUUGCAAUUCAUGAUACUGUGAAAUAUUUUUAUAAUUGCUGUACAUUCAGCUAAAAGUUACAGUAAAAUUUUCUUGUAAGUUAUGCCUGCAGAAACUUUUGUACUGAAUUUAAUCUUUUCUUUUGGUUUAUAAUUUUGAUUUAAAAUCUAUUUUCUGUUUAUAUAUGAAGUUUCAAUUGUGUAUCUUAAUAUUUGUAGCUGAUGUGUAGAAUAUUUGAAAACUUUUUUUUCACGUUCUGUAUGUUUUG